rnacentral:rRNA from 1 species
AGAGUUUGAUCCUGGCUCAGAUUGAACGCUGGCGGCAGGCCUAACACAUGCAAGUCGAGCGGUAGAGAGAAGCUUGCUUUUCUUGAGAGCGGCGGACGGGUGAGUAAUGCCUAGGAAUCUGCCUAGUGGUGGGGGAUAACGUUCGGAAACGGACGCUAAUACCGCAUACGUCCUGCGGGAGAAAGCGGGGGAUCUUCGGACCUCGCGCCAUUAGAUGAGCCUAGGUCGGAUUAGCUAGUUGGUGAGGUAAUGGCUCACCAAGGCGACGAUCCGUAACUGGUCUGAGAGGAUGAUCAGUCACACUGGAACUGAGACACGGUCCAGACUCCUACGGGAGGCAGCAGUGGGGAAUUUUGCGCAAUGGGCGAAAGCCUGACGCAGCAACGCCGCGUGAGUGAUGAAGGCUUUCGGGUCGUAAAGCUCUGUCGAGGGGAAAGAAGUGUAUUGGAGCUAAUAUCUCCGAUACUUGACGGUACCCCUAAAGGAAGCACCGGCUAACUCCGUGCCAGCAGCCGCGGUAAUACGGGGGGUGCAAGCGUUGUUCGGAAUUAUUGGGCGUAAAGCGCGUGUAGGCGGUCUGAUUAGUCUGAUGUGAAAGCCCUGGGCUCAACCCAGGAAGUGCAUUGGAUACUGUCAGACUUGAAUACGGGAGAGGGUAGUGGAAUUCCUAGUGUAGGAGUGAAAUCCGUAGAUAUUAGGAGGAACACCGGUGGCGAAGGCGGCUACCUGGACCGAUAUUGACGCUGAGACGCGAAAGCGUGGGUAGCAAACAGGAUUAGAUACCCUGGUAGUCC